AUGUAUAUCAUUCCUGAAGAAGUAAAAGAAGCUCUUGCAGUUGAACUUGAAGAACCAGAAAUUCAUUUGCCCGUCGUCAUACAAGAGCGUGAUGUAGCAGGUUUAUCUAAUCCUCUCGAGGACAUGCGUCCUUAUGAUUACUUUGCUUCUACCUUGCAUUACAUGAUACCAUCACUUAAGAUUGAUUUGAAAACUCAUUUGCUUGGAUAUGAUGAUACAUACACUGUUGGUGGCAUUGCUCUCAUUUAUGUUGAUGACACUUAUUCUCUUCAUGCUAACCUAUGCUUAAUGAUAAAUAUCAUCCUCAUGUUAGUCUUGAGCUUGCGGAUUCCUAUCAUACUCAUCAUGUUCUAUAUUCCUAUGCUUAUAUAA
rnacentral:rRNA from 1 species